UUUCGAAAGGAACGCUAAUACCGCAUACGUCCUACGGGAGAAAGCAGGGGACCUUCGGGCCUUGCGCUAUCAGAUGAGCCUAGGUCGGAUUAGCUAGUUGGUGAGGUAAUGGCUCACCAAGGCGACGAUCCGUAACUGGUCUGAGAGGAUGAUCAGUCACACUGGAACUGAGACACGGUCCAGACUCCUACGGGAGGCAGCAGUGGGGAAUAUUGGACAAUGGGCGAAAGCCUGAUCCAGCCAUGCCGCGUGUGUGAAGAAGGUCUUCGGAUUGUAAAGCACUUUAAGUUGGGAGGAAGGGUUGUAGAUUAAUACUCUGCAAUUUUGACGUUACCGACAGAAUAAGCACCGGCUAACUCUGUGCCAGCAGCCGCGGUAAUACAGAGGGUGCAAGCGUUAAUCGGAAUUACUGGGCGUAAAGCGCGCGUAGGUGGUUUGUUAAGUUGGAUGUGAAAUCCCCGGGCUCAACCUGGGAACUGCAUCCAAAACUGGCAAGCUAGAGUAUGGUAGAGGGUGGUGGAAUUUCCUGUGUAGCGGUGAAAUGCGUAGAUAUAGGAAGGAACACCAGUGGCGAAGGCGACCACCUGGACUGAUACUGACACUGAGGUGCGAAAGCGUGGGGAGCAAACAGGAUUAGAUACCCUGGUAGUCCACGCCGUAAACGAUGUCAACUAGCCGUUGGGAGCCUUGAGCUCUUAGUGGCGCAGCUAACGCAUUAAGUUGACCGCCUGGGGAGUACGGCCGCAAGGUUAAAACUCAAAUGAAUUGACGGGGGCCCGCACAAGCGGUGGAGCAUGUGGUUUAAUU
rnacentral:rRNA from 1 species